CGCGUGAAUGUGCGAUCAGGGUUUGAACGCGGGGCGGUGAUUGGUUCUGCGACCGCUCUGGGGCCUGCCCGCCGCGACUGACCAAGCUAUAUCCAGCCCCCCCACACUCAGAAUGAAACAACCAUUGAUCAGAUGGAGACAUGCAAAAACAUGGCACACAAGUAGCAGAGUGGACUGCAGAUAAAUUAAAUGAAACAGCAGGACCCUGGACUGAUUGGCAGAAUAACAGCUCAGUCUACAAUAGGUUGCUCGCCUUGCAAGUUACUGUUUAAACACAGUCCACGGAACAGGGUUUAGUUUGCUUAAAUAAAAGCAAAAUACUGCGGAUGCUGGAAACCUCUAACAAUG